rnacentral:lncRNA from 12 species
AUGAGUAAGGAUGUUUUCAAGAGUUUUCUUGGAGGAGGUGAUAAUAGUUACAAUAACCAUCUACUGAGGACUUACUCUGAUGCAGCCUUGGGAUUUGUCUUGACUGAGGCAACUUGUAUGUGCAGUGGAAGGACACUAAGCUGGGUAAGUAUGGCGAAUCGGGUUGUAGUUAUGACUUUAUUACUACCUUUAGGUAGUUUAUUUGAAUAUAGCCGAGAAAAAAAAAUCAACUUUUAAAUAUCUAGUCUUCAGCCCUACUUUGCAAGGAGGAAGGGUCCUUUAUUGACCACAGCCAGUUUCGAUUGUGCACAUCAGCAAAAGGGCGGAGCUUUGAAAAGUUGGCGUUGCUGGGGGGCAUCAGAAUCAAUGUAUCAAUGUAUGUUGGAAGGGAGCAAAUGUAAUAUUCCUCAAAAAGGAAUAGAGCAUAAGGGGAGAUAGGAGUAAGGGAGGAAACUUAAGUAAACUGAUUUGGGAAGAAGAGAAAUCCAGAGAAAAAAGUUUACCUCUAAAUGAUCUUUAUUGAAGUAUCCUUAAAAAAUUUUUUUAUUCAUUUAUUCAUGAGAGACACAGAGAGAAAGGCAGAGACACAGGCAGAGAGAGAAGCAGGCUCCAGGCAGGAAGCCCGAUGCGGGACUCGAUCCUGGGACUCUGGGAUCACACCCUGGGCUGAAGGCGGUGCUAAACCGCUGAGCCUAAAUACACUACAACGCAUCCAUUGUAAGUGUACCUGACAAUUGUACGCAGCCUCCUAAGUACCAGUGGGAUCACAAUUAAUACAACAUUGCCAUCCCUCCAAAAAAAAUCCUCUUUUGCCCUAUAUGCUUUCUGUCACUGAAGAUUAGGCUUGUCUCUUCUAGAGUUUUAAUAUUAAUAGAAUUAGACAGUAUGUACUUUUUUUGUAGAUUCUUUUGCAUAGUAUAGUUUUUGAGAUUCAUCUAUGUAUCAGGAAUUUGGGUUUUUUAAAAUUAUUGAUUUAUAUUCUAUUGCAUGGGUGUACACAAUAUGUUUAUUCAGCUAUUGGUGGACAUUUGAGUUGGAUUCUGUUUGGAGCUAUUAUGGGUAAAGCUGUUAUAAAUAUUACGGUGAAGUGUGUUUGAAGAGCAGAAAAUUUUAAUUUUGUUGAAGUCUAAUUUAUCACAUGACCUAUAUUUUUGGUGUCUUAAGAAAUCUCUGCCUGCCCAAGGUAUUUUUUUCCUAGAAGUUUUAUAGGUUUAAAUUUUAGAUUUAGGUCUAUCAUCCAUUUUGAGAUCACUGUAUGGUAUGAGGUAAGGGUCAAGGUUAAUUUUUAUCUAUAUGGAUAUCCAGCAACGUUUGUUGAAAAAUUUCCUUUCUCCUUUGGAUCACCUUGAUAGCUUUAAAAAAAAAAAAAACAGAUUGACCAGGGAUGUUUGGGUAGCUCAGUGGUUGAGCAUCUGCCUUUGGCUCAGGUCAUGAACCCGGGUCCAGGGAUCAAGUCCCGCAUCAGGCUCCCUACAGGGAGCCUGUUUCUCCCUCUGCCUGUGUCUCUGCAUCUCUCUUUGUGUCUCUCAUGAAUAAAUAAGUAAAAUCUUUAAAAAAAUGAUUAACC